rnacentral:rRNA from 1 species
GUGGGGAAUUUUGGACAAUGGGGGCAACCCUGAUCCAGCAAUGCCGCGUGCAGGAAGAAGGCCUUCGGGUUGUAAACUGCUUUUGUACGGAACGAAACGGUCCUGAUUAAUACCUGGGGCUAAUGACGGUACCGUAAGAAUAAGCACCGGCUAACUACGUGCCAGCAGCCGCGGUAAUACGUAGGGUGCAAGCGUUAAUCGGAAUUACUGGGCGUAAAGCGUGCGCAGGCGGGUUUGUAAGACAGGCGUGAAAUCCCCGGGCUCAACCUGGGAAUGGCGCUUGGGACUGCAAGGCUGGAGUGCGGCAGAGGGGGAUGGAAUUCCGCGUGUAGCAGUGAAAUGCGUAGAUAUGCGGAGGAACACCGAUGGCGAAGGCAAUCCCCUGGGCCUGCACUGACGCUCAUGCACGAAAGCGUGGGGAGCAAACAGGAUUAGAAACCCUUGUAGUCC